rnacentral:rRNA from 1 species
AUGAUCACCUCUGAGCUCCACCACCCCACCACCCCCGCACUGCCUGCCAGAUCGGAGCGCCACCCCACCAACCUAGUCGCGUCCUGCAGCGCCAACCGGAGCGCGCCGGCUCGCCGGUCGAUGGGGCGGAAGCGCGCGGUGCUGGUGGGCAUCAACUACCCGGGCACGGAGGGGGAGCUCAAGGGCUGCCUCAACGACGUGGCCCGCAUGCGCCGCUGCCUCGUCGACCGCUUCGGCUUCGACGACGCCGACAUCCGCGUCCUCGCCGACGCCGACCCGUCCACGCCGCCGCCCACGGGCGCCAAAAUCCGGCUCGAGCUCGAGCGGCUCGUCGGCGGCGCGCGGCCCGGGGACUCCCUCUUCUUCCACUACAGCGGCCACGGCCUGCAGCUGCCCGCCGAGACCGGCGAGGACGACGACACCGGCUACGACGAGUGCAUCGUGCCCUGCGACACCAAUCUCAUCAAAGACCAAGACUUCACGGAGCUCGUGCGGAAAGUGCCCGAUGGCUGCCUCUUCACCAUGGUAUCCGAUUCGUGCCACAGCGGCGGCCUCAUCGACAAGACCAAGGAGCAGAUCGGGAACAGCACCAAGCAGAGCAGGGCCCGGCAGCGGCAGCGGCCUCCGUCCGCCGGCGCCAACCUGUGCGCCUCGCUCCUCGGGGUCGUCCGGGGCGCGCUCGAGUACGUCGGCAUCCGCCUCUCCCGCCGCGCCAAGCAGGCGGGCCCGCCGGCCGGCACCGCCACCGCCACGAGCCGGUCGCUGCCCCUGUCGACGUACAUCCGGAUGCUCAAGGAGCAGACCGGGAAGGACGACGUCGGCGUGGGCUCCAUCCGGACGACGCUGUUCCACCACUUCGGCGACGACGCCACGCCCAAGAUCAAGAAGUUCGUCAAGGCCGUGGUGCACUGCCACGGCAAGCUCCGGCAUGGCGCUGACCAGGCCGCCAUGGUCACGGAGCUGACCCCGAAGGCUAAGCCGGAGGGCGGCGACGGCGGGGAUCAGGCCGGCGCGCUCGGACCAGCCAUGGAGCAGGAGGUGCGGAGCGUCGAGGAGGUGUACGCAGGCGCCGCCGCGGCGAAGGUCCCGCCGCCACGCAACGGCGUGCUGAUCAGCGGGUGCCAGACCGACGAGUCCUCGGCGGACCUGACCACGGCCAGCGGCGUGUCCUACGGCGCGCUCAGCAACGCCAUUCAGGCCGUCCUCGCGGAGGAGAAGCGCGGGAAGAAGGUGACCAACAGGGAGCUCGUGCAGAGGGCGCGCGGGCUGCUGGCCAAGCAGGGCUACGUCCAGCAGCCCGGCCUCUACUGCAGCGACGAGCACGCCGAUGCUGCCUUCAUAUGCUGA